CAUACCAUGCUGAAUAUAUCGGUUCUCGUUAGAUCACCGAAGUCAAGCAUCAUUGGGCGCGGUCAGUACUUGGGUGGGUGACCACCUGGGAACACCGCGUGCCGU
rnacentral:rRNA from 1 species